rnacentral:rRNA from 1 species
UGGGGAAUAUUGCACAAUGGGCGAAAGCCUGAUGCAGCGACGCCGCGUGAGGGAUGACGGCCUUCGGGUUGUAAACCUCUUCAGCAGGGACGAAGCGAGAGUGACGGUACCUGCAGAAGAAGCGCCGGCCAACUACGUGCCAGCAGCCGCGGUAAUACGUAGGAUGCAAGCGUUGUCCGGAAUUAUUGGGCGUAAAGGGUGCGCAGGCGGUUUUUCAAGUCAGAUGUGAAAUAUCCCGGCUUAACUGGGAGGGGCCAUUUGAAACUGAAAGACUAGAGUGCAGGAGAGGAUAGCGGAAUUCCCGGUAUAGUGGUGAAAUGCGUAGAUAUCGGGAGGAACACCAGUGGCGAAGGCGGCUAUCUGGCCUGCAACUGACGCUGAGGCACGAAGGCUAGGGGAGCGAACAGGAUUAGAUACC